UACAGAGGUCUCAAGCGUUGUUCGGAUUCAUUGGGCGUAAAGGGUGCGUAGGCGGCUUGGUAUGUCGGGUGUGAAAUCCCCGGGCUCAACCUGGGAACUGCAUCCGAAACUGCCUUGCUAGAGUAUGGGAGAGGGAAGUGGAAUUUCCGGUGUAGCGGUGAAAUGCGUAGAUAUCGGAAGGAACAUCAGUGGCGAAGGCGACUUCCUGGACCAAUACUGACGCUCAGGUGCGAAAGCGUGGGGAGCAAACAGG
rnacentral:rRNA from 1 species